rnacentral:rRNA from 1 species
AUAGGCAGCAUGUGUAAGCGCAGCAAUGCGUUCAGCUAAGCUGUACUAAUGGCCGAGGGCUUAAUCAC